rnacentral:tRNA from 1 species
GCAGUGGUAGUUCAGCGGUAGAAUUCUCACCUUCCAUGCGGGAGACCCAGGUUCAAUUCCCAGCCAAUGCA